AAUAUUGCGCAAUGGGGGAAACCCUGACGCAGCAACGCCGCGUGAACGAUGAAGGCCUUCGGGUUGUAAAGUUCUUUUCUGAGGGAAGAUAAUGACGGUACCUUAGGAAUAAGUCCCGGCUAACUACGUGCCAGCAGCCGCGGUAAAACGUAGGGGGCGAGCGUUAUCCGGAUUUAUUGGGCGUAAAGCGCGCGUAGGCGGCUCUGUAAGUUGGAUGUGAAAGCUCUCGGCUUAACUGGGAGAGGUCGUUCAAUACUGCAGAGCUUGAGGUUGGAAGAGGAGAGUGGAAUUCCCGGUGUAGUGGUGGAAUGCGUAGAUAUCGGGAGGAACACCAGUGGCGAAAGCGACUCUCUGGUCCACACCUGACGCUGAGGUGCGAAAGCGUGGGGAGCGAACGGGAUUAGAUACCCCGGUAGUCCACGCCGUA
rnacentral:rRNA from 1 species